CGCUGCUGCUGCAGCAGAGCAAGUACCGAGACUUGCUACUGCCAAUACAUCCACAACAUGCUGCUUCGAGUAUGGAAGAAAUAAUGCUGCUGCAAAUAUAACAUACAUGAAAUAACCCCAUAGCAUACAUGAAUCACCUCAUAGCAGAUCUAUACAGGUGGUGCUGGGGAAGGUGGAGGGGUUCUUAAGCAAUCUGCACCGCUACGGCAAACUCUAGUCAUAUAUUUUAAUGUUGAGCAGCGAGCUCAUUGGCUACCAAUACAGAGAAACCAAUCAGCUGUGCCAUGUGAUAAUGAUGUCAUUACGUCAGACUGAGUUAGACCUAUCGGACUGCGCCAUCAGAGUUUCAUGCCAGAACUCUGUAUUUCUUGGGUAUCUCAACUUUCCUUUUCUAGUGCUUUUCUUCUAGAUCUCUUUACAGUAGUGCAAUGAAAAUAAACUUUUCUUAAUGCUUAUAAAUUUCACUGUAUCUGCAGAAAUGUUUUUAGAAAAUGGUGAAUUAUUUCAUGAAUUUUGUGUUACUGUAAGGAACCAUGAUGUACCAGCUGAUUUGAUAAAUAUCCUUUUAAAAGUAAAUGGCAUUUAUGUUUGCAAAACAAGUUAGACUUACCACAGUUACCACAUGUGAUGCCAAUGCAAAGAAUUCAGGGGAUGAUCGGUUGCUAUAUACUUCUCUGAAAGUUUCAUUUAGACUGAAUCUUAAGUGUAUGCUUCCCUCUUCUAUGGUAGGAGGAUCAGUGUUUGUGGCCUCUGUCGUCAGUGUAAUUUCUGAAUCUGUGGUACCAAAGUUGUUCAACGUAGUAUGUCCUGUUGAUAAAGAACCAGUUUCAGGUUGAUUUGUAGGUUUUUGUGUCACUCUUUCGACAGUGGUGGAGACCUCUGAAGUAUGAGAUACUGUUACUGGCUUCAUUGUUGUUGCUGUUGUUGUUGUCAUUGUUUCAGAAUGUAAUACAGGGGAUGAAACCUCAGCUGAUGUAUUCUUGGUUGAUUCUGGUUCACUGCUAACAGUAGCUGCUGUAGUUGUCCCUGAUGCAGUUGCUGCCAAUGCUGAUGUCACUGGUACCCAGGUAGAAGCUUUGGGCGCAGUAGCAGACUCUCUUGUUGUCACUGCAUCUUCAGUUGUAGUUAUUGUUGCUGUGGUGGUCCCUGCUGUAGUUGCUGGUGAUGCUGAUGUCACUCCUGCUGAUGCUGCAGUAGUUGCACUUGUUGUUCGUACCAACAAUGUUGAGGCUUCUGCAGAUGAUUCUGAAGUUCUGGAUGUUCUUGCAGUUGUUGUUUUUACUUCACCUGUCUCAGGUAUAGUUGAUGAUCCCUCUGUUUUUGGGGCUGCUGCUGUAGUGGGAGCAAAUGUUGAUUUUGUUGUACCAGAUGCUGUCAAUGUAGUUAUUCCUGCUGAUGAAGAACCAGUGUCAGCAUGUGUUGUAGGUUCUUGUGUCACUCUUUCGACAGUGGUGGAGACUUCUGAUGUUACUGGCUUCACUGACAUUAAUGUUGUAGUUUCCUUUUGGACUGUUGAGGGUUCUGGUGUGACUUGAGAUGUCACUGGUACCAAGGUUGAAGCUUUGGGUGCAGUAGUAGACUCUGCUAAGCUUGUUGUCGAUGUUGUUGUGACUGUAUCUCUUGCCACAGUAUGUAACACAGUAGAUGGACCCACAGCUAGUGUGUUCUUGGUUGAUUCUGGUUCAUUGCUAACAGUUGCUGCUGUGGUUGAGCCCAGUGCUGUUGCUGGCAAUGCUGAUGUCACUCCUGCUGAUGCUGCAGUAGUUGCACUUGUUGUUCGUACCAAUAAUGUUGGGGCUUCUGCAGAUGAUUCUAUAGUUAUGGAUGUGCUUGCAGUUGUUGACUUUACGUCACCUGUUUUAGGUAAAGAUGAUGAUCCCUCUGUUUUUGGUGCUGCUGUAGAGGGAGCAAAUGUUGAUUUUGUUGUACCAGAUGCUGUCAAUGUAGUUAUUCCUGCUGAUGAAGAACCAGUGUCAGCAUGCGUUGUAGGUUCUUGUGUCACUCUUUCGACGGUGAUGGAGACUUCUGAUGUAUGGGCCACUGUUACUGGCUUCACUGACAUUAAUGUUGUAGUUUCCUUUUGGACUGUUGAGGGUUCUGGUGUGACUUGAGAUGUCACUGGUACCAAGGUUGAAGCUUUGGGUGCAGUAGUAGACUCUGCUAAGCUUGUUGUCGAUGUUGUUGUGACUGUAUCUCCUGCCACAGUAUGUAACACAGUAGAUGGACCCACAGCUAGUGUGUUCUUGGUUGAUUCUGGUUCAUUGCUAACAGUUGCUGCUGUGGUUGAGCCCAGUGCUGUUGCUGGCAAUGCUGAUGUCACUCCUGCUGAUGCUGCAGUAGUUGCACUUGUUGUUCGUACCAAUAAUGUUGGGGCUUCUGCAGAUGAUUCUCUAGUUAUGGAUGUGCUUGCAGUUGUUGACUUUACGUCACCUGUUUUAGGUAAAGAUGAUGAUCCCUCUGUUUUUGGUGCUGCUGUAGUGGGAGCAAAUGUUGAUUUUGUUGUACCAGAUGCUCUCAAUGUAGUCAUUCCUGCUGAUGAAGAACCAGUGUCAGCAUGCGUUGUAGGUUCUUGUGUCACUCUUUCGACGGUGAUGGAGACUUCUGAUGUAUGGGCCACUGUUACUGGCUUCACUGACAUUAAUGUUGUAGUUUCCUUUUGGACUGUUGAGGGUUCUGGUGUGACUUGAGAUGUCACUGGUACCAAGGUUGAAGCUUUGGGUGCAGUAGUAGACUCUGCUAAGCUUGUUGUCGAUGUUGUUGUGACUGUAUCUCCUGCCACAGUAUGUAACACAGUAGAUGGACCCACAGCUAGUGUGUUCUUGGUUGAUUCUGGUUCAUUGCUAACAGUUGCUGCUGUGGUUGAGCC
ensembl:lncRNA